AAAUACUAUUCAUUUACCUCCUUUUAUAGACAAGUUGUUGGUAACUAUUUGUAAUGGUUAGAUACGUGGGUUCUGCUUAUUUCGGCAUUAUGUGAUCAUGGGAUAGACGAUUAUACCCACCAUUGAUCAUGUUCUGACCAUUAUGUGCUUUCUACACUGGUGGUUUCUGGUAUGCCGACUCUAUGUCGACAGUUUAAAUAUGUUGAUUGUAUGU
rnacentral:lncRNA from 1 species